GAUGCUGAUCCCACUCCAAGUCUAGAACAUCAUUCACAUCUUGGACAGCAAAUUUCACAUACUGAUGAAGGCGCCGAAUUUCCUAUAAGAAAAAAAUUAAAAGGCAAAUAACUUGUUUUUCUGAUUCAUUCUGCAAAAUCUACAAGUGGAUAGCGCACCACCACUACCUGGGCCCACUGUGUCCCUGCAAGAAAGACAACGUGAAAGAAGGUUCUUGUAUGCAAAGGUGCUUUGCUCUUUCUGACAGUUUUUCAGAGUCAAACAGAAAGUAUUUCUGGUGAAUCACA
rnacentral:lncRNA from 1 species